GACGGGGGGGACCAGUGUUAGUCGCAUUGAUUGGGCGUAAAGGGUGCGUAGACGGCUUUUUUGAAUUAAAAUUUAAAGACCACUAUAGAGGUGGUAGGGUUUUAAUGAUCGUAAAGCUGGAGUAGUGGGGAGGGUGGUUGUACCUUUUACUUAGAUGUAAUAAUCAAGGAGGUAAAGAGGGACGACCAGUGGCGAAGGCGACUACCCAUCUAUUACUGACGUUGAGGCACGGGGGUGUGGGGAGCAAACGGG
rnacentral:rRNA from 1 species